rnacentral:rRNA from 1 species
UACGUAGGGAGCAAGCGUUGUCCGGAAUCAUUGGGCGUAAAGCGCGCGUAGGCGGCCCCGUAAGUCCGCUGUGAAAGUCAAAGGCUCAACCUUUGAAAGCCGGUGGAUACUGUGGGGCUAGAGUCCGGAAGAGGCGAGUGGAAUUCCCAGUGUAGCGGUGAAAUGCGUAGAUAUUGGGAGGAACACCAGUGGCGAAGGCGGCUCACUGGACCGGUACUGACGCUGAUGCGCGAAAGCGUGGGGAGCAAACGGG